GACGAACGCUGGCGGCGUGCCUAAUACAUGCAAGUAGAACGCUGAAGAGAGGAGCUUGCUCUUCUUGGAUGAGUUGCGAACGGGUGAGUAACGCGUAGGUAACCUGCCUUGUAGCGGGGGAUAACUAUUGGAAACGAUAGCUAAUACCGCAUAACAAUGGAUGACACAUGUCAUUUAUUUGAAAGGGGCAAUUGCUCCACUACAAGAUGGACCUGCGUUGUAUUAGCUAGUAGGUGAGGUAAUGGCUCACCUAGGCGACGAUACAUAGCCGACCUGAGAGGGUGAUCGGCCACACUGGGACUGAGACACGGCCCAGACUCCUACGGGAGGCAGCAGUAGGGAAUCUUCGGCAAUGGGGGCAACCCUGACCGAGCAACGCCGCGUGAGUGAAGAAGGUUUUCGGAUCGUAAAGCUCUGUUGUAAGUCAAGAACGGGUGUGAGAGUGGAAAGUUCACACUGUGACGGUAGCUUACCAGAAAGGGACGGCUAACUACGUGCCAGCAGCCGCGGUAAUACGUAGGUCCCGAGCGUUGUCCGGAUUUAUUGGGCGUAAAGCGAGCGCAGGCGGUUUGAUAAGUCUGAAGUUAAAGGCUGUGGCUCAACCAUAGUUCGCUUUGGAAACUGUCAAACUUGAGUGCAGAAGGGGAGAGUGGAAUUCCAUGU
rnacentral:rRNA from 1 species